rnacentral:rRNA from 1 species
CAGUAGCCGCGGGAAUACGUAGGUGGCAAGCGUUGUCCGGAAUUAUUGAGCGUGAAGGGCUCGCAGGCGGUUUCUUAAGUCUGAUGUGAAAGCCCCCGGCUCAACCGGGGAGGGUCAUUGGAAACUGGGAAACUUGAGUGCAGAAGAGGAGAGUGGAAUUCCACGUGUAGCGGUGAAAUGCGUAGAGAUGUGGAGGAACACCAGUGGUGAAGGCGACUCUCUGGUCUGUAACUGACGCUGAGGAGCGAAAGCGUGGGGAGCGAACAGGAUUAGAUACCCCUGUAGUCCCUGUCUCUUAUAC